GCGGACUUAAAGUCGGCAGUUAAGAAGAAAGCAACAGAAAGGUCAAGGGACCAAAGAAGGACAGGAGGUGGACCACCGUCUAUAAUUUUGGAUGCAUUUGAGGAGAGAAUUCUGUCGAUCAUCGGAGAUACAGCAGUGAUGGGCAUAAAGUCUGGAGUGGAUACAGAGGAGGAGACUGACUUUGGAGCUCCUGCCGGUUGUCUAUCCCAUAACGUUCGAGCCUACUGAGGAGGGUUCACUGGAGCCUGAAUUCAGGCUAUCACAGGUCAUGCUAGAUGACAACCCUCACUUGUACCAAACUCCAAAGCCAAAGAGGUUCCGCACGGAAGAGAUGAUUGACAUCCAGAAUCAGCUGUUAAAAGAAGUAACUGCACUCCGCAAGGUUCAGGAGUUGCUUAAGGUGGAGAGAGAGCGGCUGGACAUAGA